rnacentral:rRNA from 1 species
CCGUUGAGGGGAUUCUUCGGGCGCCUUCUCGGCGCUCGGAGGGUUUUCCGAUCGUCUCCCUCUCUUCCUUAAUUCCCUCUCCCCGCGAUUCGUCUCCCUAAUAUGAGGACGGCGCAGGCCCGGGGCUCGCCAAUGCUUCCUCCCCGCCUUUAAGGCUCGGUCGUUCGUUUUUCUCGCCCGUCGGUGCGCGAUGAGGCUCUCGCGGGGCCCUCCUCGUCGGUAGUUGCAGCAGCUGCUUCGGCUUCUGUUCAGCUAUUCGACGGGGUGGUAAACCCCCGAGAGUUUUCUCCAUCGCGCCAUGCGGGCGAGGCGGCGACCAGCUGGCGUUGGGACGGGCGGCGGGUUCUCCGAGCGCGUAUUCUGGUACCCGAAAGAUGGUGAUCUAUGCCUGGCCAGGAUGAAGCCAGAGGAAACUCUGGUGGAGGUCCGUAGCGAUUCUGACGUGCAAAUCGAUCGUCGGAGCUGGGUAUAGCGGCGAAAGACCAAUCGAACCAUCU